UGACCCUCUCUCUUGAUAUGUUUUAUAUUUCAGGACAGUGACAGUGGAGGAAGCAAGAGAACAUCCCCGCUCUUCGACUGACGUCUACAGCAACCCGGUAUUUGACCAAAACACUGAAGAUGGACGCGGCACUGCCUCGUUCGACGAUCCUCAGCUUCUGUGGACGGAGAAAGCAGACAACAUUGAUGACGUCAAACCUGAUGAUGACGUCCUAGGUGACAGUGCCUACCACACCCUCCGUGGGUGGACUGAAACCAGCACCCAAUUUGAGAACACCCAUGACGAAGCAGGAAGAAAGACAGAUGCACAAAGAAGUGAAAACGAGCAUGUACAUGUAGUGUGAAUCAAAAUGACGUUGUGGGCCAGCGUAGAUUUUCUAUAUGCGUACAAGGAGUCAUUGUGCAUGUACGUCCAAAGCAAACCCACGCUCAACCCACCUUCCUAACAUAGAGAUGAUUGAGUUAAGCGAUCUUGAUAUCUAAAUACCGUUCUUUAUACUGUCAAAAACUACAUUCAACGCACCUAUUUACAAAUUAGACCGAAAAAGUGCCUAUAUAUACUCUA